rnacentral:rRNA from 1 species
GAUGAACGCUGGCGGCGUGCCUAAUACAUGCAAGUCGAGCGAACAGAUGAGAAGCUUGCUUCUCUGAUGUUAGCGGCGGACGGGUGAGUAACACGUGGGUAACCUACCUAUAAGACUGGGAUAACUCCGGGAAACCGGGGCUAAUACCGGAUAAUAUUUUGAACCGCAUGGUUCGAUAGUGAAAGACGGUUUCGGCUGUCACUUAUAGAUGGACCCGCGCCGUAUUAGCUAGUUGGUAAGGUAACGGCUUACCAAGGCGACGAUACGUAGCCGACCGGAGAGGGGGAUCGGCCACACUGGAACUGAGACACGGUCCAGACUCCUACGGGAGGCAGCAGUAGGGAAUCUUCCGCAAUGGGCGAAAGCCUGACGGAGCAACGCCGCGUGAGUGAUGAAGGUCUUCGGAUCGUAAAACUCUGUUGUUAGGGAAGAACAAAUUUGUUAGUAACUGAACAAGUCUUGACGGUACCUAACCAGAAAGCCACGGCUAACUACGUGCCAGCAGCCGCGGUAA